CAGCAGCCGCGGUAAUACGGAGGGUGCGAGCGUUAAUCGGAAUUACUGGGCGUAAAGCGUACGCAGGCGGUUUGUUAAGUCAGAUGUGAAAUCCCCGAGCUUAACUCGGGAACUGCAUUUGAAACUGGCAGGCUAGAGUCUCGUAGAGGGGGGUAGAAUUCCAGGUGUAGCGGUGAAGUGCGUAGAGAUCUGGAGGAAUACCGGUGGCGAAGGCGGCCCCCUGGACAAAGACUGACGCUCAGGUGCGAAAGCGUGGGGAGCAAACAGGAUUAGAUACCCCUGUAGUCCCUGUCUCUUAUAC
rnacentral:rRNA from 1 species